GACGAACGCUGGCGGCGUGCUUAACACAUGCAAGUCGAACGAUGAAGCGGUGCUUGCACCGUGGAUUAGUGGCGAACGGGUGAGUAAUACGUGAGUGACCUACCUUUGACUCUGGGAUAAGCCUGGGAAACUGGGUCUAAUACCGGAUACGACCAAUCUCUGCAUGGGGUGUUGGUGGAAAGCGUUAUGGAGUGGUUUUAGGUGGGCUCACGGCCUAUCAGCUUGUUGGUGAGGUAAUGGCUUACCAAGGCGACGACGGGUAGCCGGCCUGAGAGGGUGACCGGCCACACUGGGACUGAGACACGGCCCAGACUCCUACGGGAGGCAGCAGUGGGGAAUAUUGCACAAUGGGCGCAAGCCUGAUGCAGCGACGCCGCGUGAGGGAUGACGGCCUUCGGGUUGUAAACCUCUGUUAGCAUCGAAGAAGCGAAAGUGACGGUAGGUGCAGAGAAAGCGCCGGCUAACUACGUGCCAGCAGCCGCGGUAAUACGUAGGGCGCGAGCGUUGUCCGGAAUUAUUGGGCGUAAAGAGCUUGUAGGCGGUUGGUCGCGUCUGCUGUGAAGGCCGGGGCUUAACUCCGGUUUUGCAGUGGGUACGGGCUAACUAGAGUGCAGUAGGGGAGACUGGAAUUCCUGGUGUAGCGGUGGAAUGCACAGAUAUCAGGAGGAACACCGAUGGCGAAGGCAGGUCUCUGGGCUGUAACUGACGCUGAGAAGCGAAAGCAUGGGGAGCGAACAGGAUUAGAUACCCUGGUAGUCCAUGCCGUAAACGUUGGGCACUAGGUGUGGGGGACAUUCCACGUUUUCCGCGCCGUAGCUAACGCAUUAAGUGCCCCGCCUGGGGAGUACGGCCGCAAGGCUAAAACUCAAAGGAAUUGACGGGGGCCCGCACAAGCGGCGGAGCAUGCGGAUUAAUUCGAUGCAACGCGAAGAACCUUACCAAGGCUUGACAUGCAUUAGAUCGCGUCAGAGAUGGCGUUUCCCUUCGGGGCUGGUGUACAGGUGGUGCAUGGUUGUCGUCAGCUCGUGUCGUGAGAUGUUGGGUUAAGUCCCGCAACGAGCGCAACCCUCGUUCUAUGUUGCCAGCGGUUCGGCCGGGGACUCAUAGGAGACUGCCGGGGUCAACUCGGAGGAAGGUGGGGAUGACGUCAAAUCAUCAUGCCCCUUAUGUCUUGGGCUUCACGCAUGCUACAAUGGCCGGUACAGAGGGUUGCGAUACUGUGAGGUGGAGCUAAUCCCUUAAAGCCGGUCUCAGUUCGGAUUGGGGUCUGCAACUCGACCCCAUGAAGUCGGAGUCGCUAGUAAUCGCAGAUCAGCAACGCUGCGGUGAAUACGUUCCCGGGCCU
rnacentral:rRNA from 1 species